GAUGGACCUCGCUUCCGGAGAUGGAUGGAUGGAUGGGAUGGACCUCACGUCUGGAGAUGAUGGAUGGAUGGAUGGGAUGGACCUCAAAGCUGCUGCCCGAGCCCUCCUUUGGGAUGAGGGAUUCGUUGGUGUGACCUCCCAGACGGCCACGACCUUUCAGCUUCUUAUCCCUUAAAAAACAGCAUCCAUCGGGAAUGGGAAUGGGAGCAGCGCUCUUGCCAUCGCCGUUCUGGGUUCUCCGAGAAAUGUUUGUGCAAAUUCAGUAAUUCAACUGAAGAGAUAAUUUUACAGCUGUUCAAUAAAGCCUCUUUCCAGGUAAGGUAUGACAAGUGGUGCGUGUGUUUGUUGAGCAGUGAGGCCCCCAAAAUGGCCUGGCCUGGGCUUUCCCUUCGUCAGCUGGUGGUGUCUGAAGGUCUAAUGGUCCAUACUGGUGAUGCUGGGGGGGCUGGAGCUUUCCCGGGAUAUUGGCUCCCGGCUUUGGAGGCACUUUGUGGGGGCUGGGAGAUGGUGGGAGCUCUGGUUUGGAUGGACUGUGGGGUCUGGAAAACCAUGGGAGCUCUGAGUCUGGAUGGACUGUGGGGUCUGGAAAAUUGUGGGAGCUUUGAGUCUGGAUGGACUGUGGGGUUUGGAAAACCAUGGGAGCUCUACAUCUAGGUGGACUGUGGGGUCUGGAAAAUAAUGGGAACUCUGAGUCUGGAUGGACUGUGGGGUCUGGAAAAUAAUGGGAGCUCUGAGUCUGGAUGGACUGUGGGGUUUGGAAAAUAGUGGGAGCUCUGAGUUUGAAUGGACUGUGGGGUCUGGAAAAUAAUGAGGUCUCUGAGUCUGGAUGGACUGUGGGAUCUGGAAAACCAUGGGAUUUCUGAGUAUGGAUGGAUUGUGGGGUCUGGAAAACAAUGGGAUCUCUUGAGUCUGGAUGGACUGUGGGGUCUGGAAAACCAUGGGAGCUCUGAGUUUGAAUGGACUGUGGGGUCUGGAAAAUAAUGAGGUCUCUGAGUCUGGAUGGACUGUGGGAUUUGACACCCUUAAAAACACAAACCACCGAAUUUCCCAUUGGAAUCACUGGAUUUUGAGGGUGGAUGGCUGGCUGGAGGACCAGCUCAGGUAUGGCAAGACACUGCUGCAGAUUUUUGAGCAGGAGGUUGUUGUCUCAUUUCUCAGGACGCAUGGAAUCCAAACCUGGAUGUGUCUCCUCCCGCUGAUGUCUUGGGAAAGCCACAGAACCGAUGGAUGGUCCAAGAGGCUCCACCUUUGGAAGGGUCUGGCUUUGCCCAAGGCCACUGAGAGCCCUGACAGAAGUGGAUUCGUUCUCCUCUGGCAUUUCUCAUCCAUGGGUGACCUGGGUGGCUCCUUUUCCCCUCAUUUUCUGGUCGGAGCAGCACUUCAGGGAUGCUCCAGGCUGGAGCCUCAGCAGGCUCUGCAGGAGAUCCCACAGCUCAGAGACCUGGUCCUGCUGUGUUUUAUGAUGCACAACCUCACUGUCCUGAGCCUGGAAUAUUCCUGGACUAUGGAAAAAAAAAAAAGAGUGGCUCUCUGUCAAUAAUUUUCACGGAAUCCCAGAUUCCCAGAGUGGUUUGGGUCAGAGGAGACCUUAAAGCUCAUCUCGUUCCACCCCCCUGCCUCGGGAGGGGUGCUGUCCAUGAAACCAGAUUAGAGGAGCACGUGAAACAUUCCAUUUCCUUUCAAAUAUUUUUCCUGGUUUUCCAGAAACAGACUCCAAAUAAGCUGAGCCUUCAGUGCCCGUUGCUCAGCAGGGACCAGGAGAAGGGUUUUCCCAAGCACCAAGGGCAGAGCUGGUGGUGAGGGUGUGACUCCACAGGAAGGGAGGUUUGGGAAGUGCCCUGGAAUGUCCCCAGCUGUCCUGAAGAUCAGGGAAUGGAGAUCCUGGUUGCUUGUGUAGAUCCCAAGCUGAGACUCCAGGCUGGAAUCCUGGUCUCUCUUUCCAUGUUGAUUUUUCUUUCCCUCCCUCACGUUAUUUUGGAUAAAGGGUUUUGAUUGACAGCCAAAGACCACAAACAUCUCCUUUCAGGGCAGGAUAAUCUGUUUGUCCUGAAAAGCCCAGGUCUUUGUGUGAAAGGGAAUUUAUUUCCCAUCCUUAUUCUGGUUUUACUCUGCCUGGGGGCAGAAGGUGAAAAGAAAAGCUGCUUUUCUCUCUCCAGUGUUGACUCAGGAGCAGCGUUAUCUUCCUUCACAUUCCCGGGAUAAACCACUGGAAAGGGCAGUGGGAUUUUACUCCAGGCCAUGAAUAAGAAGAACAAAUUGAGAUAUGCAUUUCCUAGUCUUGAUUUUGAUUUUAUUUUUCAUUUUUUUCGUGCAAGUGGAUGCAGAAUUUGUAAGAUAUUUGGACCAGGAAUCAGACAAAGGGAGUUGGAACUGGCAGGUCUCCUGAGGAACCUGAAAACCCUCUGACUCAGUUCUGGGUUAUCCCAUCUGAUAAUGUCUCUGAUGGAGCUUUAAAUUGGAAAUCAGAUACUGAAUGGUGCAAAUGUGGACUGUGCAGCAACUCCAGCACUGGGAUGUUGGGAUCAGCAACUGGUUUGGAUGGGAUGGCUGGGGGAGUUUGCUGGGUGUUCCCCAAGCAGAGGGGGGUGGAGGUUUGAAUGGGAAAUCAUGGAAUUACAGAAUAGUUUGGGUUGGAAGGGACUUAAAGCUCAUCUGGUUCCACCCAGGGACACCUUCCACUAUCCCAGGUUGCUCCAAGCCCUGUCCAAGCUGCCCUUGGGCACUUCCAGGGGUGGGGAAUCCACCACCUCUCCGGGAAUCCUGUGUCCCACAUGGAACUAUGGAACACUUGGAUGUGCUGCCAACCCAGCUCUCCUCCAGCCUGGAUGGGAUACCAGGAGGGAUAAAGGAGCACAGACUGAAAGGGAGCAGAGAGAGACCUUACAAAUCACCCUCAAAUGCCCAACUAUGGUUGGAAGGCAGGAGCAGCUCUUGGAGAGCCCAGAAAAGGGGAGAUGACCCACGUGAGGAACAUGUGGACAACAAGGUCUUCACACUGAGCCCGUCUCGUCCCAUCAGCCACUUUUUGGGGACUGCAACCCAAGGCUGUGCUGCUCUCAGCCCCACAGAAAUCCUUGGAAAUGUGCAAUUUCCCCUGAAUUUGGGAGAGGACCCAAAAGAGGUGGAGCUGCACCUUCCAGCCCCACCACGAGUCCUGCCCUCCACUGGUGCCAGAGCUUUCCUUCUUCACAUCCAGCACUGGAACCUCUGCUCCAUUCGGGGCACGAUCAGGUUUUUGGGGGUGAUUGGGAUCUCCAAAUUUUUAAAAAAAUUGACCAGUUAAAGCAUCAACUUCUUGUUUAAGAUUUUUUUUUCUCUUUUCCCUUUGCACUGAGGAAUUAAGGCAGAAGGAUCAGAUUUUUUUCCCCAUGGAAAAAGUGGAAGAGGCUUCCCUGGGUUUAUUUUCGGAGGGUUUACUCACUAGUAAUGUUUUUUCAUGUAUUGAAGGAUAAUUGAAACUCUCUUCCUCCCCAAGAAGAGCUGCCAUCCGUCAGAAAAAUGACUUUUUAGAGCAGUUCAAUAAAAAUAAGAUACAGUUUGGUAUUUUAAGCACUCUCUGCCUCUCUGUGCUAAUAAAGAGAUUGGGUGCCAUCUGGAUUAAUGCUUGGAUUUUCCCAUAAAACCAUAAAAAGCUAUAAAAAGGUUAUUUUUACAUUUCAAAUUCUUCUUUUUUUCUUUUCUUCUUAAUUUUUGUGAAAAAAAAAGCAGCGGUGCAGGAGCUUUUAUGGCUCCUCCACCACAAUGCCAGAGUCAGGCAGGAAAGAGGGAAUUCAACCAUUCCAGUAUGGAAUUUAGGGACCUACAGAACGUGCAGUCCUGGGACUUCCAGAGUUCUCAAUUUUCUGUCACCUUUCCCUAAAGCCCUGACUGGUGUCACCCCAUAAAUCCCAUGGGAAUGUGCCUUAGGUGCCUGGGGGAUUUGGGAUGGGGAAGGAGGUGCUGAACUUGCUAAUUAAUCCAUCUUAAAACCAAUUUAAAGGCACAAGAGGGAGGAUGUGUUUGGGCUUUGCCCUCUGCACUGGCUCCAAGGCUGUGGCAAGACCUUGCUGGGGGGAUAUUUGUCCUAAAAACCCAAUUCUUGGUACCUGUUUAGCAUCAUUUAUUCCUGUUUAUCCCUUCCUGGUAUUAAAUUCCUCUCCCUUUCUACCCCCAGACCACUCCAAGUCCCCCCUUUUUUGGCUGUUUCUUUUUCCAAUAUCUGGGUUAGAAAAGUUAAAUGUUACCAAAUUAAAGCUGUCAGUAACCCAAAUACAGGGAAUUUGGGAUUGUACACCCUGCUGUUACUUAUUAAAAUACUGUUCAGUUUUCCUUUUUUUAUCUAUCAGAUUGGAGAGCUUGGGCUACAAGGUUUAUAUUCUGGGAAGCUGCUUGUGUUUCUUCCCCAAAAAAACCAGAUCCAAAGGGUGGGAAUGUGCCACCCCACUCAGCCCUGGGAGCCUCUGGAGAGCAAGGUUCAGCCACUCAGCUUUCUUUUAAUAAAAACAUCUUUCCCGUGGAAUUUUGGAAUGCUUUGGGUGGGAAGGGAACCUUCAAGCCCACCCAGUGCCACCCCCUGCCUUGGGCUUUGCUCCCAGUUAAGGUCAUGGCUGACAACUGGAGGAAUCUCCACCUCAAUCCCUCGGGAUUUGGGAUCCUUGCACGGAACAAAUCCUCUCCUACAGGCUGGAAAAAAAACCACACCAAGGAUCACUGAGACAACUGUUCAUCUCUUGACUCUUUUUUGAUGGAUCUGACCACAAAAGAGAUGGAAGAAAUUAAGAAUUAACAAUUAACAGCCUCGGCACCUUCUCAGGAAAGAUCAGAUGAGCUGCUUGCACACAGCCAACUGCAAAGGGGGGAAACCACGUGUUUGUGUCUGUAAAUACCAUAUAAAUAGCUGUAAUUGUAUGUAUUUAAUGUAUAUAAAGCUGAGGAUUACAUUUUAACAAUCUCAAGCAUUGUACAGAGCCCCAAACCUGCUCUCUUGUUUUACUACCACACCCGCUGUAGGUUUAUUAUUUUUUUUUUGUCAUUGUCGUUUCUGUAUCUUGGUUGAAUUACAAACUGGCCUCACUUUUA